rnacentral:tRNA from 1 species
GCGGGUGUAAUUCAGUGGUAGAAUGUCAGCUUCCCAAGCUGAAGGUCGCCGGUUCGAGUCCGGUCACCCGCU